UGUAACGUUUUUUUUCUUUUUAUCAUUUUUAUUUUAAUAUUAUUUCUGCUUGGAGAAUGAAUGUACCGCUGAAGUGGAAUCGUCACGUACACUUUCUAAUUGUUUUUGUUUUGUUCGCGAUUCUGGUAUUGAAUUGCCAGAAAUUGUGUUGGGGUGGUCAUUUCAAAUAAAUAUAUCAUUUCCCGCUCCUCAAGUAUAGGCAACCAAUAUAACAUCUUUUCUCGUCAAAUUGUCAAGUCGCAAAAACUUGUUUUGAAUCCCAUCUGUGAAAUAUAGAUACAUCAAUUGGAACGCAUUUUUCCGUAUUUCUCGAGUGUAGAGCAUCUCAGCUAAUCCGAAUAAAGAUUUUCUGUCUUCGACCAUUUGAGUUGGAUUAUUUGGAAAAUUGCAGAUAAUAUCAUAAUUUUGCUGAUUAUUUUGGAUAUUUAUAUCACGUUUUGGAAUCAAGCAGAAUUUCCGUCUUGUACGGGAUAAAAAUUCUACAUACUCUGAUAGAAAUUUCUAUAAAAGCCGCCCUCCAUCUUAGGCUUUCAAUUCUUUCAAUUCUUCUGAAUAUUUUACUGAUUCGAUAUAUAAGUGGAUCAACCUGAAUUAUUGGCGUGUUGGUUGAUGCAAAGACAUCCCUUGGACAUAGGCACCCCCAUUGCCUUAUACUGAGGGUUGGAAUAACUUCUAACCGGUUGGGAGCGAACCGAAUUCAACAUUUCCAUCAACUGGACUUCUCCCUCUGGAUGAGUACAACCCUUUUAUUUUCAUUAGAGAAAGUUACCAAAAUUAAUCAUUUAUUUUGAAUAUAUUGAAUAACCAUAUUGGACCAUAUAUAGACUCUGAAAUUUAACUAAAAUCCUACAGUUUAUUAUUUUAUUGUGAAUACCAUUAUCUGAAUACCAUUAUCUGUGAAAUUCUCUGUAAAUGAAAGCCGGCAUUCAUUCUUCUAAAUUAUUGUUCAUACUUAAGUGCACUCAAUUCAAAUUCAUUAAUUACAUUUCAUAUCAUAAA